UAUAUUUUAGUAUUAAUGUAUUAAAGAUUUUGAUUCUUUAGGGGAUAAAUAGUUUCUAUCAAAUGUAA
rnacentral:tRNA from 1 species